CAGCACCACACGCAUCCACCAGCAACGCCACACCAGCGCCACCACCUAGCCACCAGCAUCCAUCUCCUGCGCGCCAAAACAGCACCACCCUGUACCACCAUCUCCAUCCAUCCGUCCACCCCGCCACCGCGAGCGUCUCCUACUUCAGUUGCUGCUGCUCUAUCCCUGAUCCAUCAGUCCGUCUCUCAACUUCUGCUGCUGCUCUAUCCUUGAUCCCCAUACCCUGGUGUUGCUUGUCUCCUACUCCUCGCUGCUGCACCUCCUCCUCUCAAACUCCCUCCUGCUGCUGCUUUUUCUCCCACAUUAUAGCCCCUGCUCCUUCUCUGAACCUCAAACUCUGCUGCAACACUACUGAAGGUCUAUUCUGAACUCUGAAUCCCUACUGUUGUUGCUCCUUUCUUCCUUUUAUUCUCUCUACAUUCUCAAGUAAUUUUGGUGUACUAUGCUGGGUGAUGAUGAGAUAUGUUUAGUCCAUAGACGUGUUAUUGUUCCUGCUUAUUUGUAGUUCGAAGUAAACUAAUACUGUUAUGUGUUUGUGUUGUAACGUGUUAAACUGAUCACAUAUGUACUGCUUGCUGUAGAAGCUUGUUACGUUCUGUAGUCCGUGCUAGCUCAAGUAACUAUGCUAUAUAAAUAGUAUGUGUGUGAUUGUGAUGUCAAACAUCUAUCUCAUGUCAUAUAAUUCAGUUUCUUCCCUGUGUUUUAUGUUGGCUAGGUAUAUAUAUGCCCGUGUCUUUUGAAUUCCUUUGUCAUUUAUGUUAGCAUUUUAUUCUUUAUGAAAACGAAAAUACUUAAAAGGAAAGUGAAUAAAAUCUGAACCUUCCUUUGUUUGUUUUGCAUUUCUCAGUCGAGCAUUCUGGCCUAUUUGAGUACGCACAUCAUCACCAUAGAAAGUAUCUCAUCCUUAACCCGAGCUCCUAGUUCUGUUAUUAUUGUGCUAUAGUGUCUAGCUUCGAUCUUUCACCAUUUUCUGGUUCACAUAAUUUGAGUUAGCUAAUAUUGUGAGUAAUUAGCUCUAUGAGACACGUAUAUUCAUGUCAUCUUGAAUAUUUCAAAUGCAUGCUUCGGAGUUAUAGAUCCCUGAGGAGAACUUCAACAACCUGCAGUUUGGGCGUAAAAACCUGCUGUACUAACAAUUGAUCAGCAGACAUCGACUACCAUCCGGAUGGGCCCACUGCUAGAUGCCCUCGAUGCAUGUGGACUUCGCCGCACCAGCGAAACAACCAGGGCCCGGUCGUCGCCGCCCAUUGCCCUCGGCUUGGGCUGGCAUGAUGGCUCCGUCGUCGGGCUUACUAGCCCCUCCUCCACCACCUCUGGCACUAUUGCGAGAGACGCCUCCAUCUCGGGGGCCUGCUCCAGGGUCGGCUCCCGACGCUGCUCUAUGCGGGCUGGUGAAGCCUCUAGGGCAGGAGCCUCGAGGACCGCGUGCGUCAUGGCACUGCUCACCACCUUGGACGUGGGGUCUCUCUGAGCGACCGCUGCAGCUGCCGCCUUAACUGACCAGAGGUGGUGAAAGGGAUCGAGAUGGACCUAGAGGGGGAUGAAUAAGUACAGUUACAAAUUUUAACGGUUACUUAGCAAUUUUAGGCAAUAAUGCGGGAUAUGAAAGUGAGCCUAACAAUUGCAAGGGUGAAGGUUAGUCUUUGCGUACCAAGCACGACAACAAGUAGGGUAUGAUAAAUCACAAGUAAGUAAUCAAAGACUAGUAACAAGUAGGAAGUUAGGGUUAGGGAUAACCGCAACUCCGAGAGACAAGGAUGUAUGCCGAUGUUCACUUCCUUGGAGGGAAGCUACGUCACCGUUUAGAGAGGUGGGUGUUACCACGAAGGCACACCAACGCCACGAAGGAUCACCCUAUUCUCUCCUUGAGACAACGCCACAAAGGCGUUUCUCAACUACUAGUGGUAAGACUUUGAGGUGGCCUCCAAACCCUCACAAACUUUCCAGGGGAAAUCACAACGGUUUGAUUCCUCUCCAAAGAACUCCUCCCGCCUAGGAUUCUCCAACCUCCAAGAGUAACAAGAUCACGUGGAAUGCUCAAAACAUGCUCAAAUCACAAAUAUCUUGGGUUGAGAGGAGGAGAGGAAGACGAUCUAUCUUUUGAUUGGAACAACACUCAAGUGAACUCAUAGAUGCUCUUGGGAUCUAGGAUUUUGGUGUAUGUAAAUGAGAAUGAGAGAGAAAAGUGUUCUUGGAAUCUUUACACUAUGUUGGACAACUCCCAAUCGAGGUGCGAGAAGACUAUAUAUAGUGGUGGUAGAAAAGUGGCCGUUAGUGCCACUUAUGUUGUGCAAUUGCCGGAUAUCCGGCAAUUCACGGUCGUCCGGACAACCAUGGUCGGUCGUCCGAAGAUGCAGAAAGUAUCAGGUUACCACAAUAUUCGGUGGAGAGGUGAUCAGCAUACGGAUGUCCGGAAGACGUCGGUCGUCCGAAGUUACAGAAGAUAUUAGCACAACAUGUGGUGAAAAGGAUAACAACAUACGGACAUCCGAAAGGCAUCGGCCGUCCGGGACACGGUCGUACGGAAAUGGUCAGAAGUUUGACAUUUUGAAUCUCUUGAGUGGCAACGAAAUUCCUACCGUACCCGGACAUCCGGUCCUUGGACGACCAGAGGAGCCAAAAGUCUGAUGGUUUGAAUUUGUUGGUUGGCUCCGGAUUUCCGGAGGAUGUCGGCCAUCCUGCGUCCAGAUGUCCGAGAACCACCGGACGACCGAACAGGAGCAGACCAACAACACAAGAUAGAGAGAGAGGAAUUUCCGAGAGUUUUGAGAAAGUUUCUUGUGAGACCCAGUGAUCCCCUCUUAAUAGUGUGGGGUCACUAUACUCAAGAAAUACAAAUAGAAUGAUAGACCACUUCAUCCUGUUUCUUCGUUCUUGAGCAUCCUGGACAAAUUAGUCACGAUCCAUACAUAAACCCUCAUGGGAAGAAAACCCCCUUUUUGGUAAUUGAUGAAAACAUACAUAUACUCAAGAUGAUCAGUUUCCAAUAUGUAUGUUGUCAACAACAUCAAAAAAAUGAUUAAGGGCAUGAUUGCACUUUCAGUCUCCCCCUUUUUGGUAGUUGAUGAAAACAUACAUAUAGCUCUUAAAAAGUAAAGUAGACUUAUGUAGCUUAGGAGAGAUUUGUUAUUGAGCUCCCCCUGAUUAUAUGCAUAGUAAAAUAAUUAUGGUCGGGAGCUCCCCUUACUUUGAUAAUGAGUGCAUCAAAGAUAUCAUAUAGAUCAUUAACAUAGUACGAUAACACAUCAUCCAUAUAUCUCAUAAUAGUUCACCGUAAUUCAUCAUACAUACAUUAAGGAAUAAUUCAUCAUCCAUACAAUAAGGGUAACAAGUGGAAUACUAAGAUAAUGUCCUCCCCCUUUGACAUCAAGUACCGUAAAGGGAAGGACCAUGACAUGCAACUACGCACUCAGAGACCACUGCCAUCAUCAUCAUCACCAUGGAUGCCACUGCCACCUGCCUCGUCAAGGAAAUCAGCCCACUCAAGGCCGGAGGGAAAACCAAAGUCGGAAGGAGGAGCAGGGGAAUAUCCUCGUCCUCACUCCAUCAGUUGCUCCCGAGUCUCUCAGACGAGCCUUGAGAGCAUUCUGAGAAGAGAUCAUGUGAGUGACCACAUCAUGGUUUUGUGAGUGCUGAAAGGUGAAAGCCUUCAUUAUGGCAGAUGUGCUUUCCCAAGAAAACUAGCAAAGCGACCGAAGGAGGCAGAGGUAGAUGAGAUAGACCUGGACCGAGCAGCAGCCCGUCCAGCAGGAGCGGAUGAGGAUUUCUUGGGAGCCCAAUCAUCUGCUAUGUGAGGGGGAAUGACCCAUUUUUUAUGCACAUGAGUGCGAGCAAUAGAAAAUGGGGCCACAUGUUCAACGAGAGUCUUAAUAAAAGGGGCAUGAGGAAAGGCUCGCUUGUAUUGAAAACUAGCGAGGCGAAUAUCAUCCAUAAAAAGUGAGGAACAUUGAUCUUCCUUUUAGGAUGUUCAUUAAGAUGGAUCAUGAGAUCAAUGCAAUAUCCACUACAAGUUCCCCUGUCACCCAUCUUCGGAUAGAUGGUGUGGAUGAUGCGCUGAAAAAUAAUGUAGAAGAGAGAUCUCCAAAUAGAAACUUGAUUGAGAUCUUUGCCUUUUUCCUCUUCAUCAAGCUCAUCAAAGCUUUUUAAAAGAUAGCCACAUGCUUCAAUGGCUCUAGGUGCAUGAUUUGGGUCACUCUUAUGGAUCUUAAAGCCGGUGUCUGGAAAACCAAGAGCAGCGACAAACUGAGCGUAAGAGGCUAAGAGCUCCGUGUCGGACAUCAUCCAAGUGACAGUGUUAUCCGGACCAAAGAAGCAAGUUCAUAGAACUGGUGAAUGGCACCAUGAUUGAAGUCGUGUUGAAAAGCAAAGGGUGCAGCAAGACCAUAUGACUCGAUGAGAUUAAUGGCACCCGAAUAUUUCGUCGGGUGAGUGCGAGUAUGCUCUAAGUCAAUAUAGUGAUGAACCGACAUACCUUUUGGAACAAUGACAGCGGAGAAAAUGUCUACCUGCACAUUUGUGUGAAAACGCGAAAACGCGAGUCCAUGGAAUCAUGCACAACAGAGAAUUGAUCAGUGUCGCAACGAAACUUAAGAUUGGCAAAUUUAGGGACCUUGGUGAAAUCCUUAAUUUCGCGACCAAGUGAAGGAGAGGGCUCAAGAGAGAUGCGGCGAGCAUCACCUUGAGGCUGAUCCGGAGGCGGAGGAGUCAUGUAUGACAGUCUCCAAGUGUUGGGCUUUGGAAGAUUUCUGCGAAUCCCAACAAAUUUGGCCCAUUCUUCAUACUCGAGCUCUUCUUCGUAGUCGGAUCCCUCCGAGGAUGAGACAGUUCCACGAACCGGACGCUUGGCGAUGCGCUUGGAGGGACGAGCCCGUUCUUGGGAGUUGUCCGACCCUGCACCAUGGGUGACACGAGAGGACGAACCGACGGGGAUCUUGCGUGCGGAGUGCUUGACAUUCGGCAUGGCAAAAACUCCUACAACCAUGUUUGAGAAAGCCUAAGUCUGGGAUCGGAUGCAUUUGGAGCAUCGAGAGCAGAAAUACAUGGAAAUAAUCGGUUGAAAGAGAGAGAGGAGGAGGUUACCUCGAGGCGCACAAAGAGAAGGUCUCCGGCCAGAGAAGCAGCCGGAGGGAACCUGGCGGUGGCCUGACGAAGCAAGGGGAAAGAACGAAGAGGGGAGGCGAUGCGGGGAGUUAGGGGAAAUGCCCAGACCCGCGUGCCUCCAGACUUUAUAUGGGGGCCGAAUUGACGGACGACCGACAGACGGCGGAUGUCGGGAUAUUAAUAAAUCGUUGGACGUUCGGACAUCAACAUGUCACCGGAUGGCCGAGACACGUCGGACGUCCGAGAGGGGCAAAUAGGAGAGAGAGGCAAACAAGGAGAUUUUUUCCAUUUUCUGUGUCACCCGUGAUAGUGAGAUGAUGGAGAAUAUCCUAACACAUGUAACACCCAAGAUUGUCUCAAAUAGUGACCAUUCUAGCUAAACAGCUCUAACGAUGUUCAUUAUAAGGGUGUGGGUGGUGGUUUAAGCCACCAUGUUUGAGUAAACUUGGGAUGACACUACGAAGAUAACUUGAGCCCAUCACCACAACUCCAUCAUUUAAAGCACCAAGUCACCAAGGUGAACAUAGUAACUUUGAGAGUGUUGCGUUGAUUUACGCAUCAUAUAGGGUGAGAGAACUCAUGAAUUGAAUGCCUCCCCCUAAAUACAUGCCUACACCUAGAUAAAACAUGAAGUAAGUGUAUGUAGGUGUACAAGAUUUCACACAAUGUUAUCAAGAUCCAAGAUACCAAGUUCACGCCUAAGUUGACAAAACCUUGCUUCGUCCAAUGGCUUGGUGAAGAUGUCUGCUAGUUGCAUAUUUGUACCCACGUGAGCAAUAUCAAUGUCACCCUUUUGCACAUGAUCUCUCAAUAAGUGAUACCUAAUAUCAAUGUGUUUUGUGCGAGGGUGAUCAGUGGGGUUCUCAGCAAUCUUGAUGGCACUUUCAAUAUCACAUAAAAGAGGCACAUGUCUAUAGGUGAUAGCAUAAUCCUUUAAAGUUUGUCUCAUCCAUAGCAAUUGAGUUGCACGGCUUGCAGUUGCAAUGUAUUCAGCUUCGGCAGUGGAGAUGGAAACACAGGUCUGCUUCUUCGAGGACCAACUUACCAAGGAGCUUCCAAGAAACUAACAUGCACCAGAAGUGGAUUUCCGUCCCACUUUGUCACCAGCCCAAUCCGCAUCUGUGUACCCAAUGAGGUCAAACUUUGCAUCCUUGGGGCACCAUAAACCCAACUUUGGGGUGUGAACAAGGUACCUAAGGAUAUGCUUAACCGCCGUAUGAUGGCUUUCCCUAGGGGAAGCUUGAAAUCUUGCACAUAUGCCUACACGUAGCAUGAUGUCUCGUCUAGAUGCACAUAGAUAAAGCAAUGAACCAAUCAUAAAGCGGUAAUAGAUGGGUCAAAAGGAAUACCGUCGGUGUCUUCAGUGAGAACAAGUUUUGUGGACAUGGGUGUCUUACAUGGUUUAGCAUUUGUCAUGUCAAACUUCUCUAGAAUGUCCUUGAGGUAUUUUGUUUGAGAUAAGAAAAUUCCUUAUUGACAUUGUUAUAUUUGAAAUCCAACAAAGAACUUCAAGUCUGUAUUGAGUGACAUUUCAAAGGUCUUGGUCAUGGAGGCCGCAAACUUCUUGCACAAAUGAAUGUUAGGAGAACGAAAAAUUGUAUCAUCUACAUAGAUUUGGCAUAAGAUCAAAUCACUGUUAUCCCUCUUAGUAAAAAGAGUAGGAUCGAUCACCCCUCUCACAAUGCCAUCAUCGAGUAGAAACUUCUUAAGAUGAUCAUACCAAGCACGCGGUGCUUGAUUGAGGCCAUACAAAGCUUUGUGAAGUUUAUACACACAGUCGUCGUGAUCGGGGUCAACAAACCAAGGUGGUUGUGAUACAUAUACUUCUUCUUGUAGAUGACCAUUAAGGAAAGCACUCUUCACAUCCAUUUGAUGCAACGUAAAACCAUUGAAAGCAGCAUAAGCCAAUACAAUGCGAAUAGAAUAAAUACGAGCAACAGGAGCAAAGGUCUCACCAAAGUCCAAACCUUCAACUUGGGAGUACCCUUGUUCCACUAACCUUGCCUUGUUGCGGAUGACUAUGCCAUUCUCAUCUUGCUGGUUCUUAAAAAUCCAUUUUGUUCCAAUGACAUUGUGUUUCUCAGUUGGUCUUUGGACUAAUGACCAUACUUUGUUGCGUUUAAAACUGUUCAACUCUUCUUGCAUAGCAACAAGCCAAUCAUUGUCCCACAAUGCAUCUUGUACCUUGAGUGGCACAACAAUAGAGACAAACGAAAAGUGAGCACAAAAUUUUGUUAAUUGUUUACGAGUGACUCUACCUUCCGAUAUGCCGGUAAGAAUUUUAUCAACAUCGACACGACCAGCCACUCGUGGCAUGAUGGAGGUCAGGGUUUCACGAGGUUCAACUUCAUUUACAUGAUCUACAUCCUCAACAUAUGGAUCAUUAAUGUGUGGUGAAAGAUAUUCUUCUUCACAUUGCAAUUGUGAGGUUCAUCAUCAAUGAUAGCAUUUUCUUGGUCUAGUCUUAACGAUGAUAUUGGUCUUGAAUGUGAUCAUGGUGAGGAAUGUGUUCUCCUUCUUGAUCCUGAACGACUGUUCUCCUUCUUGAUCCUGAACAACUGGCAUGGUUUGAGCACUAGGAUCUUGUGGAGGUAUGGGCGUUGAGUCGACUUGAGGAUGAGGGAAAUUUACAUCUUCUUCAUCAUCAUCAUGAGGUUCUUAUUCCAUUGGAAGAAGGGCACCAACACCCAUGGUCAAAAUACCUAGAGAGGGAUCUUCUUCACCUGCAUCACUUAGAUCAACUUGCUCCCCAUGGGAGACAUUAAACUCAUCAAACAUCACAUCACAAGUUUCUACAACACAUCCAUUGGAUUUGUGGUAGACUUUAUAGGCGUGAGAGUUUGAUCCAUAAACAACAAAUAUCCCCUCAAUUGUCUUGGAUUGAAAUUUUCCUAACCGUUCCCGUUUGUUGAGGAUGAAACACUUGCACCCGAAUACACGAAAGUACUUGACAUUUGGCUUGUUCCGGUUAGGAGCUCAUAUGGAGUCUUCUCCGAUAUUGGGCAGAGGAAGAGCUAUUUUGAUGCAUGGCAUGCUAUGUUGACAGCCUGAGCCCAAAAACUAUGUGGUGACUUGUAUUCAUCCAACAUGGACCUUGCCAUUUCCGCAGUGUACGGUUCUUCCUCUCGGCUACACCGUUUUUAGAGGAGUGUAGGGUAUGGAAUUUGAUGCUCAAUACCCUCAUCACUAAGAAAUUCUUCCAAGGUGUAGUUCUUGAACUCGGAGUCAUUAUCACUUCUUAUUGCCAAGAUUUCUUUGUCAAACUUGCGUUGGGGUUGCUUGGAAAAAUCAAUGAAGGUGAUCUUCGUCUUGUCCUUGGACUUGAGGAAAAACACCCAUGUAUAUCUUGAAUAAUCAUCAACAAUGAAAAGUCCAUACUUUUUCCCACCAACACUAUCCCACAACAGUGGACCAAAAUGAUACACAUGAAGGAGAUCCAAAGGCCUUGAGUAGAUACAAUAUUCUUGGGUGGGUGUUUUGAUUGAUGUUGCUUCCCAGCUAUGCAUGCAUUACACACACGAUCUUUAUCAAAGAGGCAUUGGUUAGUCCAAGGAUGUGAUUACCCUUUAAGAUAUUUUGAAAAAUUCUCAUUGCGGCAUGGGCUAGCCGGCGAUGCCAUAGCCAUCCCUUAUCGGCCUUGGCCAUUAGACAAGUUGCAUGGAAUGUCCUCUCUUUCGAGAAAUAAACUGUGUGAAGAUUGCCAUCCAACUCUCCAACAAAAGAAACUUCGAGAGUAUCUCUCUUCAAGACUUUCACAUCCAUUAGUCCAAACAGUGUAUCAUAACCAACAGAAACCAAUUGGUGAACAGAGAGAAAAUGUUGUUUAAGGGAUUGGACAACAAUGACAUUUGCAAGAGACAUGUCAUUUGUGAUCGCCAUCUUGCCCGACCUGAGUACCUGUCCUUUUGAUCCUCCACCAAACACAAUGCUCAUAAAUGGUUGAAUAGCUUCCAUGAAAUAGAAAAGCAAUUUUCUAUCUCCGGUCAUAUGGUUGGUGCAUCCACUAUCGAUCACCCAUUUGACUCUACCAGAGAAAGCAACCUACAGACAAUUUAUGACUUGGUUAGAGGCGCCCAUUUUACUAUGGGACCUCUCAAGUUAGUCAAUAGGGUCUUAGGGACCCAAAUAGCAUAGAACCGGAAUGCAUUAUGAGGAACAACAAAUUUAGCAUAAAUCUCUCCAUCCUUUGUUUUACGAAGUAUAUAGGAUAGAGGCAUGAACUCUUUUGGCUUGUUGAGAGUGGGCAUGCCCCUAGUGGCCUUCCCACUCACAACCUUACCUUUCUCCUUGUGCCCUUCUCGUACAAAUGUUUCUUUGAGAGGGGUGGUGCACUUGAUAGGAGACAUAUUUUUCUUGUUUGUGCUUGGGUUAAACCCGAGCCCUUCCUUGGCAAACACCUCAUUGUGUUGGCUCAAAAUCUCAUUAAGAUUCUUUUGUCCUUGUGCACAUGUCAUGAGUCCUUUCUCUAGUUGUGCCUUUAGAAAACGAUUUUUCUCAAGAAUAGAUGCUAGCUCACUACUAGAGUUAGUAGUACAAGUAUCAACAUUGAUAAUAGGUGAGGAGUAAACCUUGGCUAGAGUUUGAAAAUAAGUAAGUUUGAGCAUCUCAAAGCUCUUUGUAAGAAGAGUGAGCUCAUCAUCCUUAGCCUUGAGGGACAUGGAUAAAAGCUCACAAUCCUUAGAGAGAGAAGCAUGAGAUUUCACAAGCUUACUUUUAUCAUUUAUUAACUCCUUGCACGAGUUCUUAGCCUUUUCCAAGGAGGCAAGAUUGUUAGCAUGAUUGUAAAUGUUUGCACUAAUUUUUAAGCAUAGUUCAUCAUUUUGCGCUUCCUCAUAUUGGACUUUCUGCUCAAGGAUUUUGUUCUUUUCCUUUUCCUCGGUGAUGAGCGUUUCGAGUUCCUUAAUGGUAUUGGUGUGUUUACUCACCAUCUCCAUAAGCAUACGAAACAUAGUGAGCUUCUUUCCUUUAAGGAAGCACAUGAACUUAUUUGUUUUAGCAAGCAUAUGACCAUCUAUAUUGUCAUCAUCAUAGUUAUCCUCUGCAUCAAGAUACUCAUCAAAGGACUAGACAAUAAAAGGGGGGAAUUUUAGCGUGGAGUUACCUUAACCUUGUUAGGAGAGUUUUGGUCCUCUCCAUCUUCUAUGACGGCCUUUGCCAUCAAGCACUUGUGAGCGUUGCCCUUGUAGUCUUUCGUAUAGUUGUAGGCGACAACAUCACCACUCUUAUUGAUUAACCUCAAGGUGUUUUGUGAAUCUUGAGCCACUCCGGCAACCCCACCAACAUCUUGUGGAUCAGAUUCUUCAUGAGCAACCAUUGCUUUCCCAUCUCUUCUCUUGAGCUUGGAGUUCAUAGGGUUUGGCAACUUCUUGUUUGCAAAGGUCUUCGAAACCUUGGUUUAUCUUCUCUCUUCUCAUAAGGGCAAUCUUUGGAGAAGUGGUUGGUCUCCUCACAGUUGUAGCAUUUUCUCACCUUCUUCUUCUGGAAUCUUCCUUUGAAUUUUCCUGCACUAAACUUCUUUACAAAGAGGGCAAUGACUUCAUGUGAUGGGGUCUCAUCGGAGUCAAUCUCAUCACCAUCUUCAUCAUCAUCAUCAUCUUCUUCUUCUUUACUUUGCUCUUCCUCACAAACAUGCUUGGCCUUCAAAGCAAGAUUUAUCUUUGAUGUUGAGGUACCAUGCAUGGCAAGAUGUUUAGUAGCAUUUGCGUUUGACUCUUUGAAUAGCUGGAAAGUGGAUAUGAUGCCGUCCGAGUCAUUUUCUUGAACCCAUGAUGUUAUAUUAUAUCCCACACCAUUUGGUGAUGAUUUGGAGCAAGGGCAUGAAGUAGCUUGUCCACAAGAAAUCUCUUGCUCAAGUAAAAUCCAUCUUGUGUUUUGUCACAGUCACAUGACUCAGUGUCGGCGGUGAGAGUCAUGAGCCGCUAUAGAAGCUGCAUGGGGGCUUCACCUUUUUCCAUACAAAAGUUUUGCAAUUGCCCCUUGGCAAUUUCAUACUGAGCAAGCGAGAGGGUGGAGGUACCGGUCUUGGUCCUUACAAUGGUGCCCCAUAAUUCCUUGGCACUUGUGAUGUGUAUGUUAGGUCUCUGUUGCUUAUCAUUCAUUCCUUUUCUUAUGCACAUGAUUGCGGUAUCGUUGAGAUGUUUCUCAUAAGUUUCUCAUGGAGUGAUAUUCUUUGGGUCGACAGGGUGGUAGCCAUGCUCCAGGAUGUCGAACAUUUCAUCAUUGGCAUACCUAAUAUGAUCCUGCAUACCAACUCUCCACAAGGAAAAAUAGGAACUGUCAUCAAGCAAAGGAGGUUUUCCUCCAGGAUUAUACUUAGGCUUCUCAACUUGAGGUCUAGCAUAAAGCCAUGGAAAACUAGUUUGGUCAUUGCUAGGAGGUUGUUGGUCAGGUGAAGAAAUAGGCACAUUUGGCCUCGAGGCCCCACCACUUGAAGGUGAUGCCAUCAUCAUGGACAAUGUGUCCAAUCUCAUUCGGACCAAGGACUCAAGAGAAGCAUCAUGCUUGUCCUUUUGCUUAGCAAGAGCCUGUUCCAGAUCCUCAGAAGUCAAGGACUUGACUUCCAUGGAAGUCGCACCCUUAUCCUUUGUAUCCGCGACAAGGGGAGUCCCAUCGGGGUUCAUCUCGCUCUAGGGAGGUUAAGCCACAAGAAUAAAGCACGAGGCUUUGAUACCAAUCAAAAGGGGUCGAGAUGGACCUAGAGGGGGGUGAAUAGGUACAAUUACAAAUUUUAACUGUUACUUAGCAAUUUUAGGCAAUAUUGCAGAAUAUGAAAGUGAGCCUAACAAUUGCAAGGGUGAAGGUUAGUCUUUGUGUACCAAGCACGACAACAAGUAGGGUAUGAUAAAGCACAAGUAAGUAAUCAAAGACUAGUAACAAGUAGAAAGUUAGGGUUAGGGAUAACCGCAGCUCCGAGAGACAAGGAUGUAUGCCGAUGUUCGCUUCCUUGGAGGAAAGCUACGUCACCGUUUAGAAAGGUGGGUGUUACCACGAAGGCACACCAAUGCCGCGAAGGCUCACCCUAUUCUCUCCUUGAGACAACACCACGAAGGCGUUUCUCAACCACUAGUGGUAAGCCUUUGAGGUGGCCUCCAAACCCUCACAAAUUUUCCGGGGGAAAUCACAAUGGUUUGAUUCCUCUCCGAAGAACUCCUACUUCCUAGGAGUCUCGAACCUUCAAUAGUAACAAGAUCACGGGGACUGCUCAAAACUUUCUCAAAUCACUAAUAGCUUGGGUUGAGAGGAGGAGAGGAAGACAAUCUAUCUUUUGAUUGGAAAAACACUCAAGGGAACUCACAUAUGCUCUUGGGAUCUAGGAUUUUGGCGUAUGUAAAUGGGAGGGAGAGAGAAAAGUGUUCUUGGAAUCUUUUCGCUGUGUUGGACAGCUCCCACUCGAGGUGGGAGAAGACUAUAUAUAGGGGUGGUAGAAAAGUGGUCGUUGGAGCCACUUAUGGUGUGUAGUUGCCGGACAUCCGGCAGUUCAUGAUCGUCCGGACAACCAUGACGGGACGGACGUCUGAACAUGGUCGGUCGUCCGAAGAUGCAGAAAGUAUCAGGUUACCACAGUACUCGGUGGAGAGGUGAUCAACAUACGAAUGUCCGGAAGACGUCGGCCGUACGGGGCACGGUCGUCCGGAACUGGUCAAAGUCCAACAUUUUGAAUGUGUUGUGUGGCAACGGAAUUCCAACCGUACCCGGACGUCCGGUCCUCGGACGACUGGAGGAGCCGGAAGUCCGAGGUUUGAAUCUAUUGGCUGGCUCCGGAUUUCUGGAGGACGUUGGCCAUCCGGCAUCCGGAUGUCUCAGAACCACCGGACAAUCGAACAAGAGCAGACCAACAACAGAAGAUAGAGAGAGAGGAAUCUGCUAGAGUUUUGAGAAAGUUUCUUGUGAGACCCAAUGACCCCCUCUUAAUAGUGUGGGGUCCCUAUACUAAAGAAAGACAAAUAGAAUGAUAGACCACUUCGUCUUGUUUCUUCGUUCUUGAGCAUUCUGGACAAAUUAGUCACGAUCCAUACAAAAACUCUCAUGGGAACAAAACCUAAGAUACACUCGAUUAAGAUAAUUAGUUUCCUUUAUGUAUGUUGUCAACAACAUCAAAUAUGAUUAAGGGCAUGAUUGCACUUCCAGCUUGGCGACACACUCCUUCUCGAGGCGCGCCAUCGCGGCAUGUUCGGCAGCCAACUUCGCGUCCGCCUCGCUGGCUGGGCCUCAUGAGGCUAGUGGCGGAAGACCAAUGGCCUCACUGCCAGAAAAUAUAAAAAAAGAGCACGAGCUCAAAUGCGAAAAACCCUUACCCAGACACGAGGGAGAGCGGACGCCCACUGCACCUCCGCACCCUCCGCCACAGCGACCGGAUGCCCGACGGCAACACGACCAACCAUGCCUUCUUGGCGUCUGGGUUGAUCGACGACCCCUCGAUCAGUCGUUCCUUCCACCACCGCUCCUCCGUCGUCUAUCGACGGGCUGACUAUCCAACUGUCGGGCAAUGCCUAGCUCGAAGCUCCUAGCUCCCUCCUCGCCUAUGGCACUAGGGAAGCUCCACUUCGACAAGCGGCGCAUCCACUAUACAUACAUCCUCAUCGUCGUCGUUUGUCCAAUCCUUCAAGGUCAUAUCCGAGUUUGAAAACGGUACCACCAAGAUUUGGAAACUUCCCGAGGUCAUCGAAUUAAUACAGCUGACAUUUAUAUAUCGGUCUCACUCACACCAAGAAUUCAAAAGUUGCCACAUUUAGUGCUACUCAAUACCAUCGAGAUUCGUUUCGGUGUCACCGAGUUGGGCAAUAAUGUUGUACCGGUUGGAAUUUCGGAGAAGCCUAUUGAUACGUCUUUUUCGUAUCUAUAAUUUUUGAUUGUUCCAUGAGAAUAUUUUACAACUUUCACAUAUGUCUGGCAACAUUUUAUAUGAUUUAUUGGACUAACAUAUUGAUCUAGUGCGAAGUGCCAGUUCCUGUUUGUGGCAUGUUUUUUGAUUCACAGAAUAUCCAUAUCAAUCGAAUUCCAAACGCGAUAAAAUUUUAUGGAGAAAUAUUUUGGAAUAUAUGUGAUUUUCGGGAGGUAAAAUCAACGCAACCGGAGUCCCACGACCUCCACUAGGUACCAGGGCGUGGCCCAUACCCCCUGGUGCGGGGUGGUACCUAGAGGCCACCACAUAAGUUUGUUAGGGCUCUUCUUUGGGCGUAAGAAAGCUAAUUUAUGGAUAAAAAUUUCCUCAAAAUUUCAGCCCGAUCGGAGUUACGGAUCUCUCGGAAUUUAAGUGCAUAUGAUCCAAGUACGGAAAGUGUGUUAGUGUAUGUCUCUCCCUCGUUGCACAUGAUAAGUAUCUCUCAUGUUAUAUUCUAUUGCCUAUGGACAAUCUUGAUUUUUGCGUUACACAAAAAUCUUUUUACUAAACAGCCCGAAAGUUUAUUUUACUUGCUCUUUAUUUUAUUGCAAAGUACUUCUAGUUUUAUUCUUGUUUUAGGUAAAGAAAACGUUAAGUGUGCAUAGAGUUGUAUGUGUGGUCGAUAGAACUUGAGGGUAUAUUUGUUCUACCUUUAGCUCCUCGUUGGGUUCGACACUCUUUCUUAUCGAAAAAGGCUACAAACGAUCCGCUACACUUGUGGGUUAUCGAGACCUUUUUCUGGCGCCAUUGCCGGGGAGCAAUAGCGUGGGGUGAAUAUUCUCGUGUGUUCCUGUUUGCUUUAUCACUAAGUAAUUUUUAUUUUCUGUUAUUAGUUGUUUUAUAUAUUUAGUUACGGAUAUGGAGCAUGAGACACCAAAAAAAUUAGUUGUACUUUCUACUCAUGGAGAUGGGAAACCUCCUAGAACCCUCGAUGCUUGUUACGUGGAAAAUAUUAAACAGUACUUUGAUAAUCCUCAAAAAACCCAAUUCAACUUGAUAACAGGAGUAAUGUUGGAUCAACGUGAAUACUUUAGGGAUUAUCACUUGAUUCAAAAGGGGAAAUUGUUAUGGGAUCAAAUUCAUAUGUUGCAUUGGAUUCUUGGAAUUUAUGCUAGAGAUACGAUUAUACUUUUUGUUCUAGGAUGAAGGUUUGACACCUUCCCUUUUCAUGUGAAUUUAAUGAUAAUGCAACUUAGCUUCUUAUGAUAAUGGUAUAUAUGAUUACUAUGAUAUGGAACGAAUAGAAGAAUUUGUUUCUUAUGAAAUUGAAUCUUUGUUUGAUAAGUGUGAAAAUUAUGAUGAUGUUGUUUACGAACGUGAAAUUUUUGCUAUACUAAAAUAUGGCUAUGAGAAUUAUGAAUACAAGUAAGAUAUUGAUGCAUUUCUCGAGAAAGUAUCUACUAUCCAAGAAGAGACUAAUAUUUUUGCAGUAACUAUGGAAGAAGAAAUUGAUGAAACUGUGAGCUCAUUGGAUGAAAAAUAUGAGGAUGAGAGUGAAGAACAGAAGGAGGAAGAGCGGGUUAGCUACCUGUGCCCACCUUCUAACGAGAGGACCUCUUUAACUCAUUCAUUGUUUAAUCUCCCUUCAUGCUUACGGAAGGAUGAAUACUAUGUUAACUACUAUGAUCCCGUUGAUUCUUUUGAAAUAUCCCUUUUUGAUGAAAUUGAUUCUUGCUAUGCUUGUGGUAAAUAUGCCAAUAUGAAUUAUGCUUAUGAAUAUGAACUUACAAUAGUUCCUUAUGUUAAGAAUGAAGUUGUCUCUAUUGCACCCACACAUGAUAGUCCUAUUAUCCUUUUGAAUUCUCCCAACUACACUAUAUCGGAGAAGUUUGCACUUAUUAAGUAUUAUAUUGAUGGGUUGCACUAUACCACUUCACAUGAUGAUUUUGAUGGAUAUAUUAUGCAUGUGCUUGCUGCUCCUACUUGCAAUUAUUAUGAGAGAGGAACUACAUCUGCACCUCUUUAUGUUUCCAACACGGUAAAAUUGCAAGAACAUGCUUAUGCUAUGUAUUGGCCUUUACUUGAUGUGCAUGAAUUAUUUUUUAUGAUAUGUCGAUGCAUAGGAAGAGAGUUAGACUUCGUCAUUGCAUGAUAUAUGUUGAUUUGUGCUCAUUACUAAAUAACAAAUCAUUGUUAAUUAAAAUUGGCUUUGAUAUACCUUGGCAUCCAGGUGGAUCCAUUACUUGAGCAAUUUAUGCCUAGCUUAAUGGCUUUAAAGAAAGUGUUGCGAGGGACACAACCCGGAAGUUUUAGAGAGUCAUUUAUUUCUAUUGAGUGCUUUUAGAAGGUUUAAAAAAGUGGGGAACUUAUAAAGUUUUCGAAAAGAAGAGUGGAAGUGAAAAGGACGAGCACCAUUGAAGUGGGGAUACCCUUGAACUUUGUUUAUGCCUAUGGAAACAUUGUGAAUCUUGAUCACAUUAACUUUUCAACAAAAAUAAUUAUCCCCUUGUGCAAAUCCAUUGUAUUAUAAAAAUAAUGUGCCAAGAUUUUCCUUUAGGAUGAUUAGAUUCCUUGUUGGUAUGUGUGGUGCAAAAACACAAAGUUUGGCUGUAGUGCGUGAAUUUACAUUUUUUUAUUGGAACGUCGAACGUUUCUAAAAUUGUUACAUAGGAAAUCUAUGCAAAUGUUUCCUUUUUUCCUGAGUUUUCCUAAUUUUUUAUGUUAGAGAAGUAUGGUCAAUAUACAGAUUACUUCAGACUGUUGUGUUUUUGAAAGAUUCAGUUUUUGAUGCAUUGUUUAGCUCGUUUUGAUGAAACUAUUGAUUUUAUCGGUGGUAUAAGCCAUGGAGAAGUUAUAUCACAAUAGCUAUAAUGAAAAACCAAAAUAUGAAUGGGUUUGUAAUAGUACUUAAGGUUGUAAUUUGUAUUAUUAUACAAAUGGAUCUCACAAGUUUUCUGUUAUGUUUUGUGUGGAUGAAGUGUUUGAAGUUCGAGGAGGUCUCAAUAUGAGGAUAUGGAGGAGUGUAGGAUCGAAACUAAGUCUGGAGGGUGGUGAUUAGACUACUUGAUAAGAUGAAAACAUAUAUUUUCCCAAUUUUAGUUGGGGGCCAGUUUUAGCAAUUAUGACUAGUCAAGUUCACCCUACACAGGCACAUCUAAGAGUACAGGAGUGGAAAAUAAGACAUGCAAAUGUAAUUUAGUGGGUAAGGUAGGGAGAUCAAACGCAAAGGUUGCACGACGAUUUUAGCAUGGUUCCGAUAGGUGGAGCUAUCGUACGUCCAUGUUAGUGGAGACUUCAACCCACGGAGGGUAAAGACUGCGAGAGUCCACGGAGGACUCCACCCACAAGGGGUCCACGAAGAAGCGGCCUUGUCUAUUCCACCACGGCUUCCAUCCACAUAGGACUAGCCUCACUCACUAUAGAUCUUCAUGAAGUAGGCGAUCUCCUUGCCCUUACAAACAUCUUGGUUCAACUCCACAACAUGAAGUAGGAGGCUCCCAAGCGGCAUCUAACCAAUAUAGGAGGAACCGCCCUCCAGAAGGUAAUAGAUGUGCUAGAACGAUGAACUUCUUGCUCUUGUGCUUAUAUAAAGAUAGUCUCCUCAACACUCAAUCACUCUCUCUCAUAUUCUGCUGGGGUAGGAGAGAUUGAUGUUGUGGAAAGCAACUCGGGGAGGCUAGAAAUCAAGGUUUAAAUGGUUGGAAGGAAUCUCUUGAUCUCAACACAUGAGUAGGUGGCUCUCUCUCAGAAAAUGGAUCUGGCAAGUGUAAGUGCGUUCUGAGUGCUUCCUCUACGAAUGAGAGGUAGGUGGAGGGGUAUAUAUAGGCAUGUCCCAAACUCCAACCAUUACAACAUUAUUUCCCAACUCGAUGACAACGAAAGGAAUCUCUGUGGUACCGAGUUGCACUAAAUGUGGCAACUUUUGAAUUCUCGGUGAUACACAUAUAGGAAUCUCAGUGGUACCGAUACGAUGACCUAGACCAGUUUCCAAAUCUUAGUGGGACUGAUUUCACACUUGGAAAUUCCAAUUCUUGAAAUCUUCUCAACAGAAAGUUGGUCACUGAAUCUCGGUGGUACCGAUGUGAAAGUUGGUGGUACCGAGAUGGUAGGGUUUGGUAUAAGAUAUGUCAAGUGUAAAAUCGGUAGGGACGAAUGGAAAUAAUUGGUGGCACCUAUUUGGCUGGUUUGGUAGUUGAUAGAGGUAUUUUGUGGGAGAAUGGCCGAGUAUUUUUGGAGGCUACCUCUAAGCACUUGAGCGAACAAUUCAUCAUAAUACCUCGCCCCCUUUUAAUAGUAUACGAUUUCAUAUGGACUCAAACGAUUUCUCACUAAUAGAAAAUGUAGAGUCUUGUUGCUUGAAGCUUGAGCCAAUCCUAUUCCUUUCCUUGCAUCAAGGGGUUUCUUCUCACAAUCCUAUAGCCAAGGCAUCUUUGAAAUUUCCGAAAUAUACUUGAUUAAGAUCAUUAGUCCAAUGAUGCAUAUGUUGUGGUUAAUUACAAAAAACACCUUAUGGAGCAAUUGUGCUUUUAAUCUCCCCCUUUUUGGUAAUUUAUGACAACAUAUUGAUCAAAAGUUCGACAAAAGAUAUAAUCAAUGAUUAGCAUCGAUGCCUUGAGAAGUAUGUGAAAAGCAAGAGCUCCCCCUAUAUUUGUGAAUUAUUUUAAAUUUGCAUUUGAAUGAAAUGCACAAUCGAUUAAGAUCAUGGGUUACGCUUCCAUGUCACAUACAACUUGGUGGUGCACAUAAAUGAUAUGAAUGAAUCGUAAUGCACAUAACACCAAACAAGCAAGUGAAUGAUCAUCAUGUAGAUAGCUCAAAGGUAAUAACGUGGUAGCAUCAAACAAUCGAAGCGUAUGAUCAAACACUCCUCCUAAACAGAUGAAGUCCUCCAAAAGACCAAAAGUUUUGGAAAACGAAAUGAGAAGAAAUAAAAUGUAAAUGUGUCCCUCUCGAAGCCCUAUUUGAUCUAUAAACUUCUCUCCUUUGGCAACAUGUUACCAAAAAGUUCAAAGGUCUAGAACUAAGCGUCUCUCUGGGCACGAUCUCCUCCGGUAGCUGAUGAUGGAGUGGACAAGAGAGCGUUGAUGAAGGCUUCUACAGAAGUCCUUGGAGGUGGAGGUGUAGACACUAGAGGUGUAGGAGCAGGAGAUGAAGCUUGAGGUGAUGAAGAUGGUCUUGCUUCCAGAACUGGCAUACCUGCUGACCUAGUCUGGGUCCUGAAUUGAUUAGUAAUAGGAAGAGGUGACUCUUCAUCGUCACUACUAGAGCAUGGAAUAUUCACAUAAUCAACUUCAUGUUGGAGCAGCUAAACAGUGGAAGUCAACUCCGUUACCUUAACAUCCAGGUCAUGGAAGUUUGUCUCCACGAUCGACUCGAAGUUCUUCUGGUUCAUCAAGAUAUCAAAAACUUUCUUCUCCAUCCCUUGGAUGGUGCUGACCAAGAAUGACAUCUACUCAUCUCUGGUUCGGAGUCGUGGGGUUGGAGCUGGAGCAUAACUAGCAGCCUCUGAUGUUGCUCCUUCUACUGCCUCUCGAGCAGUAGCUGAGCUGGGAUGGCUUUCGUCCAUCACAACUUCAUUGUCUUCAAAAUCAAGCUGACAUGGCAGGUGGGGACGAUCAAGUAGAUAUGCAUGCUUGCCAAUCUUGACAUUGAUGAUCAUCUGAAUAUAUGGAGCAUAUCCACACGAUCCAUUCUAACCUACAUCAUUCCUCUUGACAGUAUCAACUAUCAAGUCCAUCACUUGAAACUUGGUGUGAGUAUCUAGAUGAUGCAUCAUGUUGAUGGAAUAACAUGUAAUCAUCUUAUCAUCACCUAAUUUGGGCAUGUGGGUGUAUCUCACAAUGGUGUUCAUAGUAGGUAUUCCUGCUUGCUAGAAAUAGACACAACCAAACUUGUGCAACAACACAAACUCAUGGGGCACCGGCUUGUACAUGUUGGCCAUUGUCAGAUUUCGGGUUCCGCAAAACCCUAAGGAUUCGAACACACCGGUGUGUACGAUGGUUCCUCCCUACUUAGCUUUGCCUAGUUGGCUACUCGAUGGAAACGAUGACGGACUCACUCGAUGGUGAGGGAAACACAGAACACAACAGUUUACCCAGGUUCGGGCCGCCGCGAAGCGUAAAACCCUACUCCUUCUUUUGGUGGAUUGCCUCUCGCAGAGGUUGGUGGAUGAACUAGUACGGUUCUCUCGAGCCUCCGAAGGCUAAGUGGCUUGGUGUGUUGCUCUAGGGUCAGAAUGAACCGAUCCCCCUACCAAGUGUUCUACCCUUUCUAUUUAUAGAGGAGGCACGGGUCCUCUUCCCUCAUAGCUUCGGCGGGAAGGGAUCUGUCGGGACCCCGAUCCUAAGCCUUAGGAAUCCAGCCUGUAACACAUCACAUCUCUUUGCGGUCUCACGCACGGUUAACCCCACGGCUGCAGUCUUACCUUAGCCGGGACCGUUUGCGCCUUUUGACUCGCGUAUGCAAUUGUGUUGCUAGCAAUCCAAUGACAAAGAACCCGGAUCGACAUGUCUAGUCAUAAACCAAAGUGGCAGUUCCGCACAGGGACAUGCAUACAUGACCCAGCAAAGCAGGUGUCGGUCACCAGCGAAUGUAGACGAGUCGUAGCAAGCUACAAGGACUCCAUUACAUCAUGUGACAUUUCCCCAAAGGGGACAGACACAACAGCUAAGAAGGACACAUGCCGGUCAACCAAUGUGUCCGGAGCAGUAGCGAGCUACCAUGGGUCGUUGGAUCACAAAGGGGCAUUUCCCUGUAAAGAAUGCUACUAAAUUCUACAGCUAGGUAAUCGAACCCCAUACAUAUCAAGUACGACACACGUACGCAUGNNNNNNNNNNNNNNNNNNNNNNNNNNNNNNNNNNNNNNNNNNNNNNNNNNNNNNNNNNNNNNNNNNNNNNNNNNNNNNNNNNNNNNNNNNNNNNNNNNNNNNNNNNNNNNNNNNNNNNNNNNNNNNNNNNNNNNNNNNNNNNNNNNNNNNNNNNNNNNNNNNNNNNNNNNNNNNNNNNNNNNNNNNNNNNNNNNNNNNNNNNNNNNNNNNNNNNNNNNNNNNNNNNNNNNNNNNNNNNNNNNNNNNNNNNNNNNNNNNNNNNNNNNNNNNNNNNNNNNNNNNNNNNNNNNNNNNNNNNNNNNNNNNNNNNNNNNNNNNNNNNNNNNNNNNNNNNNNNNNNNNNNNNNNNNNNNNNNNNNNNNNNNNNNNNNNNNNNNNNNNNNNNNNNNNNNNNNNNNNNNNNNNNNNNNNNNNNNNNNNNNNNNNNNNNNNNNNNNNNNNNNNNNNNNNNNNNNNNNNNNNNNNNNNNNNNNNNNNNNNNNNNNNNNNNNNNNNNNNNNNNNNNNNNNNNNNNNNNNNNNNNNNNNNNNNNNNNNNNNNNNNNNNNNNNNNNNNNNNNNNNNNNNNNNNNNNNNNNNNNNNUUCAUUAUUCUACAUGUUUUGUCCAGUAGCAUUUUUCAAACAUGUUUGAAAAUGACAUAUUCAGAUUCCUUCGAUUUUUCUUAUACUUUUUCAUGUAUAAAUUAUUUUCAUUGGAGUUACAGAUUAAUUUCUAUGAUUUUUAGAAGUUUUGGCAUUUUUCUGGAAUUCUUUUAAUUCAGAAAUCCACUUAUUGCGUCAUAACUACAUCAGCAAUGCGUGAGCAGGUCAAUUGACCUGGUCAGGUCAAACCUCACAGGUGGGGGCCACUGGUCAGCGUCUCAGGAGCUAAUCCCGCGCUGACCAGUCCCUAAGUGGAUUUGACCUACUGCUAGGGCCCACUGUCAGUGGCUUCUUAGUGCUAAUCCACCGGGAUUAGGCCGGCCACGUCGUCCCCCGCCAGAGACUGACCGGCGGCGACCAGAUCCGCGAUGGAUCUUCGCCGGAGACGCACCAAAACGCACUGUGUUGCUCGGAAUCGAGUGCCGAGAGCACCGGGAUGAUCCCCAGGCUCGGCCUCAUCCUCUACGGGCAUCAGGAGGGGCUAUGGGUGGCCGGAGCAUGCCGACGACGAGCCGAGGCGGCUGCCGGAGCUCGGGUUCAUGGGUCUCGGGGCUAGAGUGUCGGAGAGAGAGGGGAAACAGAGGGAAAAUGCUCGCAAGCUCACGGUGGAGGCGAAGCUGGGCUCAGACUGCUCGGGGAGGGGCUGUAGCCGGCGAUCCACCGUCGAUUUGCCGGCGGCCGAAGGUUGAAGACGACGGCACUGGAGGCGUUGCAGGGCUCGGCGAGGAUGGUUUCGUCGACGUGCGUGUCUGGCUCGACGUUGCGAAGAGGAUGGAACACUCGGGGGGCUUCCCUGUGGCCAGAGAGCUCGGGCAGCUCGAGUUCGAGCUUCUGUCAAUGGCGGCAGGAGGAGGGAGGAGAGAACCGAGAGGAGAGGGGGAAUGGCGCUCGGGAACUAAUAGGGACGCGCUCGGGGUAGUCAUCCCCGUUGUCGCGCUGUCCUGGGGGGCACGGGAGGUCGGCACGGCGAAGCAGGAGGUGGAGGAGGCCGCCGUGGUCGAUCUCUCCUCUGCCAGAAGGUAGAGGAAGAAGACGACCCUGCCCCUGGUGGGCUGGGCCUCACAGGUAAGCGACAAGUAGGUUUUCUUCUUCUUUUUUCUGUUUUGUUUUUCUGAUUUGCUAACUAUUUUAAUUUGCUUUUUUAUUUCAGCUCCAAAAUAGUUUACCAAAAAUAUUUCGAACACACCAAAAUAUUUGUUGGAAUAUAUCCAACCAUUCGAGAAGUUUACAACAUUUUUGAAAACUUAAAGUUUUUGAAUUCAAAUUUAAACUUGAAUCCAGUAGCCUUUUGCAUUUAAAUAAAAUGCCAAAUGUGUUAUGAAAAUAGUUUUCUUCACUGCUUAUUUGCUUCCAUGAAUUAUCAGAAAAGUUGAACUUUUCUUGAGGCCAUUUUGGGUUCAUUGAUUUGAACAAGUUUAGAAUUUCUUUGAAUUUGAGAAGUGGCUAGGGUUUUUGAGUUUUGCUUCACCACUUGCUUUGACCUUGUUGCGAUUUUCUUGGAUGCAAUGCAAAGAAGAUAUGAGCACAAUGUUAACUUGAUUAGGGUUUCAGAGAUGUGACAAUUCACCCCCACUCAAA
rnacentral:lncRNA from 1 species